rnacentral:rRNA from 1 species
UACGUAGGGGGCUAGCGUUAUCCAGAAUUACUGGGCGUAAAGCGCGUGUAGGCGGCUGGUUAAGUGUGAUGUGAAAUCUUCGGGCUCAACCCGAAAACUGCAUUGCAAACUGGCCUGGCUAGAGUGCAGGAGAGGGAAGCGGAAUUCCAGGUGUAGCGGUGAGAUGCGUAGAUAUCUGGAGGAACACCAGUGGCGAAGGCGGCUUCCUGGCCUGUAACUGACGCUGAGACGCGAAAGCGUGGGGAGCGAACCGG